AACAGAACGAACGCCAGACAAAGCAGACUCGAGGAUCCCCUUGAAUUUUGAAGAAACGCCAUAGCUUUGGUCUAGUUGAAUACUCUUUUCCAAAGUUACAUCGCUCAAAUGAUAUCCGCGACUUAAAAGUUCAGAGAUUAUAGCUGAACGAGGCUUGUCUUCUUGACGAGCGGCUUGAUCGCCUCCAGCACCUCCUUGAUCGGUAGUAGAAGCAGCACCACCAUCUUCACUGGUGAUUUGGAUUUUGUUUU